rnacentral:rRNA from 1 species
GAUGAACGCUGACGGCGUGCCUAAUACAUGCAAGUCGAGCGAACAGACGAGGAGCUUGCUCCUCUGACGUUAGCGGCGGACGGGUGAGUAACACGUGGAUAACCUACCUAUAAGACUGGGAUAACUUCGGGAAACCGGAGCUAAUACCGGAUAAUAUAUUGAACCGCAUGGUUCAAUAGUGAAAGACGGUUUUGCUGUCACUUAUAGAUGGAUCCGCGCCUCAUUAUCUAGUUGGUAAGGUAACGGCUUACCAAGGCAACGAUGCGUAGGCGACCUGAGAGGGUGAUAGGCCACACUAGAACGGAGACACGGACAAGACUCCUACGGGAGGCAGCAGUAGGGAAUCUUCCGCAAUGGGCGAAAGCUUGACGGAGCAACGCCGCGUGAGUGAUGAAGGUCUUCGGAUCGUAAAACUCUGUUAUUAGGGAAGAACAAAUGUGUAAGUAACUAUGCACGUCUUGACGGUAACUAAUCAGAAAGCCACGGCUAACUACGUG